CAGCAGCAGCCACGGUAAUACGAAGGGUGCAAGCGUUAAUCGGAAUUACUGGGCGUAAAGCGUGCGUAGGCGGUUUGUUAAGUCUGUUGUGAAAUCCCCGGGCUCAACCUGGGAAUGGCAAUGGAUACUGGCAAGCUAGAGUGUGGCAGAGGGGGGUGGAAUUCCGCGUGUAGCAGUGAAAUGCGUAGAUAUGCGGAGGAACACCGAUGGCGAAGGCAGCCCCCUGGGCCAACACUGACGCUCAUGCACGAAAGCGUGGGGAGCAAACAGGAUUAGAUACCCGAGUAGUCCCUGUCUCUUAUAA
rnacentral:rRNA from 1 species